UACGUAGGUGGCAAGCGUUGUCCGGAUUUAUUGGGUUUAAAGGGUGCGUAGGCGGUCGAUUAAGUCAGUGGUGAAAUACUUCAGCUUAACUGGAGAGGUGCCAUUGAUACUGGUUGACUUGAGUACUGAUGAGGUAGGCGGAAUGGACGGUGUAGCGGUGAAAUGCUUAGAUAUCGUCCAGAACACCGAUAGCGAAGGCAGCUUACUAAGGAGUAACUGACGCUGAGGCACGAAAGUGUGGGGAUCAAACAGG
rnacentral:rRNA from 1 species